rnacentral:rRNA from 1 species
GAUGAACGCUGGCGGCGUGCCUAAUACAUGCAAGUCGAGCGAACGGACGAGAAGCUUGCUUCUCUGAUGUUAGCGGCGGACGGGUGAGUAACACGUGGAUAACCUACCUAUAAGACUGGGAUAACUUCGGGAAACCGGAGCUAAUACCGGAUGAUAUUUUGAACCGCAUGGUUCAAAAGUGAAAGACGGUCUUGCUGUCACUUAUAGAUGGAUCCGCGCUGCAUUAGCUAGUUGGUAAGGUAACGGCUUACCAAGGCAACGAUGCAUAGCCGACCUGAGAGGGUGAUCGGCCACACUGGAACUGAGACACGGUCACGACUCCUACGGGAGGCAGCAGUAGGGAAUCUUCCGCAAUGGGCGAAAGCCUGACGGAGCAACGCCGCGUGAGUGAUGAAGGUCUUCGGAUCGUAAAACUCUGUUAUUAGGGAAGAACAUAUGUGUAAGUAACUGUGCACAUCUUGACGGUACCUAAUCAGAAAGCCACGGCUAACUACGUG